AGCGGCGUACGGGUGAGUAACACGUGGAUCAUCUACCUCUUAGUGGGGAAUAACCCUGGGAAACCGGGGCUAAUACCGCAUAAUCUCGGGAGAGGAAAGCAGCAAUGCGCUGAGAGAGGAGUCCGCGGCCGAUUAGCUAGUUGGUAGGGUAAAAGCCUACCAAGGCAAAGAUCGGUAGCCGGCCUGAGAGGGCACACGGCCACACUGGCACUGAAACACGGGCCCGACUCCUACGGGAGGCAGCAGUGGGGAAUCUUGCACAAUGGGGGAAACCCUGAUGCAGCGACGCCGCGUGAGCGAUGAAGCCCUUCGGGGUGUAAAGCUCUUUCGGCAGGGAAGAUGAUGACGGUACCUGCAGAAGCAGCUGCGGCUAACUACGUGCCAGCAGCCGCGGUAAUACGUAGGCAGCAAGCGUUGUUCGGAGUUACUGGGCGUAAAGGGUGUGUAGGCGGUUGUUUAAGUUUGGUGUGAAAUCUCCCGGCUCAACUGGGAGGGUGCGCCGAAUACUGAAUGACUCGAGUGCGGGAGAGGAGAGUGGAAUUCCUGGUGUAGCGGUGAAAUGCGUAGAUAUCAGGAGGAACACCGGCGGUGUAGACGGCUCUCUGGACCGUAACUGACGCUGAAACACGAAAGCGUGGGUAGCAAACAGGAUUAGAUACCCUGGUAGUCCACGCCCUAAACGAUGCAUAUUUGGUGUGGGUCAUUCAGUUGAUCCGUGCCGGAGCUAACGCGUUAAAUAUGCCGCCUGGGGAGUACAGUCGCAAGGCUGAAACUCAAAGGAAUUGACGGGGGCCCGCACAAGCGGUGGAGCAUGUGGUUCAAUUCGA
rnacentral:rRNA from 1 species